UUCCGGUUGAUCCCGCCGGACCUGACUGCUAUCGGAUUGAUACUAAGCCAUGCGAGUCUUUGUAGUAAUACAAGGCAGACGGCUCAGUAACACGUAGUCAACCUACCCUAUGGACGAGAAUAAUCUCGGGAAACUGAGCAUAAUUCUCGAUAGAUCAUAAUGCCUGGAAUGGUUUAUGGUUAAAAUGAUCCGUCGCCAUAGGAUGGGACUGCGGCCUAUCAGCUUGUUGGUGAGGUAAUGGCCCACCAAGGCGAUUACAGGUACGGGCUCUGAGAGGAGAAGCCCGGAGAUGGGUACUGAGACAAGGACCCAGGCCCUAUGGGGCGCAGCAGGCGAGAAAACUUUGCAAUGUGCGAAAGCACGACAAGGUUAAUCCGAGUGAUUUCUGCUAAAGAAAUCUUUUGCAAGUCAUAAAACCACUAGUGAAUAAGGGGUGGGCAAGUUCUGGUGUCAGCCGCCGCGGUAAAACCAGCACCUCAAGUGGUCAGGAGGAUUAUUGGGCCUAAAGCAUCCGUAGCCGGCUCUGUAAGUUUUCGGUUAAAUCCAUGUGCUCAACGCAUGGGCUGCCGAAAAUACUGCAUAGCUAGGGAGUGGGAGAGGUAGACGGUACUCGGUAGGAAGGGGUAAAAUCCUUUGAUCUAUCGAUGACCACCUGUGGCGAAGGCGGUCUACCAGAACACGUUCGACGGUGAGGGAUGAAAGCUGGGGGAGCAAACCGGAUUAGAUACCCGGGUAGUCCCAGCUGUAAACGAUGCAGACUCGAUGAUGCAUUGGCAUAUAGCCAGUGCAGUGUCGCAGGGAAGCCGUUAAGUCUGCCGCCUGGGAAGUACGUACGCAAGUAUGAAACUUAAAGGAAUUGGCGGGGGAGCACCACAAGGGGUGAAGCCUGCGGUUCAAUUGGAUUCAACGCCGGG
rnacentral:rRNA from 1 species